rnacentral:lncRNA from 1 species
GCUGGAAGGGGAUUUUAAAUGGGCAAAAUGAGUUAAAAAAUAUAAAAUUAUAAAAACAUGAAAAAAACUUGUAAGAUAAACAAAAAGUACAACAGAAAGCCAAAUUUCCAACAUAAAUACAAACCAUGUUAACCACAUACACAUUUGUACCACCUACAGAAAGACUGGGAGAAAACAGGAAAAUACUAUUAACAGCUGUCAGAAGGCCAAUCUCCUAGGUAACUCGUGCGUUUGUUUCGCAAAGCUAAGGACUGGAUUCAGGGCCCUGUGCAGGCAUUGCCAGAGCCACAUCUCCAGCCAUUUCUGUUUCAAAAUCACUGGACACUGGUCACUUAUGGUGAGACAUCUAUUGGUUUCUUAUCGAGCAUCUGCCAGGUUGUCUGGUAUUUAACUGCCACUGAGCUAAAAGAUUUCACACCAAGGAAACUAGAUCUGGGGACUGAGGAUGUAGCUCAGUUGGGAGAGCAUUUGAUUAGCAUGCAGGAAGUCCUAGGUUCACUAAAGCAUUAGCACCACAUGAAUCAGGCUUGUAAUUCCAGCACACAGGAUUAGGUACUGGAUAUUAAAUUCAACCUCUGAUACACACCAAGUCUGAGAAUACAUGAGAGAGAUCCUGUCUCAAAAGCAACAACGGGCUGUGGAGAUGGCUAAGUAUAUGUACUACUCUAGCAGUGGACCAAGUUCUGCCAGCACUCACAUCCGGCAGCUCCCGACCCCAGGGGAUGUGAUGCCUCUGCAGGUAUCGGCACUCACAUACACACACCAGGUCGCCACUGGAUUUAGGCACUCUCAGGCCCUGAAUUCAAUCUGGGAGUGGUUUGUGACACUGGUUUCUUCAUGCUGUCCAGUGGACGGACAGAUUGCUAGAACAAUCUUUUCCUUAGUUGGUCUGUGAUCACAACGUCACAGAUCAGAAUCUGAGGGAAGGGGUUGUGGGAAGACAACAUGUUUGAGUCUCUGGAAGACAAUGGCUAAAAUGUUCUUUCCCAGCAUUCAGGCCACUGCACUACUUACAUUUCCUUAUACUUUUGAAAAAAAGUGUGGCCACCUUGCAAAAACGGAGCUCAACUACUUUAUGGAUGCCGAAGAAUCCAGGCACUAUACCAGGGUUUGUCCAUAGAACCCUAGGCUGCUAGUCAAGAAUCCAGUACAAGAGACUGAAGCCCUUCUGCAGAGCCCUGGCAUUCCCAUUAGAAGAGUGUUUCGCAUACAGUUACUCUGGGCUCACUAGUGUCCAGGCAGCCACCAAAAAAGACAGGAUUUGGUCAACAAAUCAACUAUCAGCAUAGAAGACUCCAGUCCACACUACACCAAUACCUGUUUUCUCUUGCACUGACGACAGAACUACAGGUGAAUGCUCUUCCACUGACACACACACAGACACACACACAGACACACACACAGACACACACACACACACACACACACACACACCCUGCAACAUCCCACCGAGUAUACUUAGGACCUUAGUUUCUCAUUUGUC